rnacentral:rRNA from 1 species
AGGGUUUGAUUAUGGCUCAGGACGAACGCUGGCGGCGUGCCUAACACAUGCAAGUCGAACGGUCUAAUGCUUAACACUGAGUGUUCAGUGAAGUUGGGACAGCGAGAGCGCGAAGCAUGAGCGCUCCACGCAAUUAAAAGUGCCAACAUACUUGGGAAACGGAACGCUGAGUGUUAAGUGUUAGAUAGUGGCGGACGGGUGAGUAACGCGUGGGUAACCUACCCAACAAACCGGGACAACCCUUGGAAACGAGGGCUAAUACCGGAUACGCUUAUAAGUUGGCAUCAACGUAUAAGGAAAGGUGGCCUCUGAAUAUGCUGCCGAUGAUGGAUGGACCCGCGUCUGAUUAGCUGGUUGGUGGGGUAAAGGCCUACCAAGGCGACGAUCAGUAGCCGGCCUGAGAGGGUGAACGGCCACACUGGGACUGAGACACGGCCCAGACUCCUACGGGAGGCAGCAGUGGGGAAUCUUCCGCAAUGGACGAAAGUCUGACGGAGCAACGCCGCGUGUAUGAUGAAGGUCUUCGGAUUGUAAAGUACUGUUUUUAGGGAAGAACGGUCUCUUCAGGAAUAUGGAGGAGACAUGACGGUACCUAAGGAGGAAGCCCCGGCUAACUACGUGCCAGCAGCCGCGGUAAUACGUAGGGGGCGAGCGUUGUCCGGAAUUAUUGGGCGUAAAGGGCGCGUAGGNGGGUAUUUAAGUCCGGUGUGAAAGAUCAGGGCUCAACCCUGAGAGUGCAUCGGAAACUGGGUAUCU